rnacentral:rRNA from 1 species
UCGGCAGACGGCUCAGUAACACGUGGAUAAUCUGCCCUUAGGUGGAGGAUAACCUCGGGAAACUGAGAAUAAUACUCCAUAGAUCUGGGAUGCUGGAAUGCACCUAGGUUGAAAGUUCCGACGCCUAAGGAUGAGUCCGCGGACUAUCAGGUUGUAGUCAGGGUAAUGACCUGACUAGCCUAUGACGGAUACGGGUUGUGAGAGCAAUAACCCGGAGACGAUAUCUGAGACACGAUAUCGGGCCCUACGGGGCGCAGCAGGCGCGAAAACUUCACACUGUGCGAAAGCACGAUGAGGGUAUCCCAAGUGCUGGCUCGUAAGAGUCAGCUGUUUCUCUGUCUAAAAAACAGAGAGAGUAAGGGCUGGGUAAGACGGGUGCCAGCCGCCGCGGUAAUACCUGCAGCUCAAGUGGUGGCCGCUAUUAUUGGGCCUAAAACGUCCGUAGCCGGUUUAGUAAAUGCCUGGGUAAAUCGUGUAGCUUAACUAUACGAAUUCCGGGUAGACUGCUGGACUUGAGAUCGGGAGAGGCUAGAGGUACUCCUGGGGUAGAGGUGAAAUUUUGUAAUCCUAGGGGGACCACCAGUGGCGAAGGCGUCUAGCCAGAACGGGUCUGACGGUGAGGGACGAAGCCCUGGGGCGCAAACCGGAUUAGAUACCCGGGUAGUCCAGGGUGUAAACGCUGCUCGCUUGAUGUUAGUUGGGCUCCGAGCCCACCUAGUGUCGAGAGAAGUUGUUAAGCGAGCUGCCUGGGAAGUACGGUCGCAAGACUGAAACUUAAAGGAAUUGGCGGGGGAGCACCAGCAACGGGUGGAGCGUGCGGUUUAAUU